ensembl:lncRNA
AGGAGUUGCACAUGUAGAGCUAGCAAGAGCAUGUAUGAUUUAGUCCUCGAUAAAUUACUUACAUACACAAAAUUGCCUUUCAUGUUUAGAGUGGUUGUGGGAACUGUGGUGCCUGCAGAUUUCCCCUCCACCCAACUUGUCGCAGCCAUGCUGAUCGACGUCCCAGGCUACUCUGGCAGAAUGCCCAAAACCUUCCUGAGUUUAUGCUUGUGAUGACAUUGCUGCUCAUGCUCAUUCUCACGCUGCUCUGGUGGAGUAGUCCCAAAAUGGCAGCAGCCACGACAGCGUUUGCGAACAUGCCCUUCCCAUUAUACCUACAAGCACAGUCAGAGAACUGUGUUAAAGCACAAAAACUAAGUCAAGAAAUGGUGGUGUCAGGAAGCCUGCAGCCUGGGGUUGGCAGAAACCAACGACACGUAAAGAAACCAAGCAGAAGAUCAAGAUGCAGAGGUUGGAGGCGAUCAACUGGCAGUGGGGCUUUGGUGGAGAAGGAGAUGUCAGAGAGGAAGGAGAGCAAGGUCAUACACCAGCCCCUCUCAGCUAGAUAAGUUCUCUGCUAAACACCUCAAACAAAAUGAGAAAUCUACUACAAAGCCAGUUCUAUUCUCUCAUCCCAAGCACACUCCCAAAUGAUCCUGUGCAGAAGAGAAAAACCUUUCACAGAGUACCCCCCCCAAAAAACAAGGCAUCUCCCUGCCAGGGUAGAUGUCAGACUGGAGAGGGUUCCACUCCCAGCCCUUCCUACCAUGUUGACAGCCCCAGACAGAAGGACCACCACCAGCACCAGGAGAUCCAGAGGAGGAGAGCACCAGCAGCCCUUGUUUCCCGGCCCCCGUGGGGAAGACAUCUCCAGGGAGAGUCUCACAGAGCAGCCCAGCUGUUGUGAAAAGAUACCGCAAGGGAUAGACACCCCUGCACCUGGCUGCUAUAAAGGGAGAUGUGGAGACCGUGAAGGAGCUCCUAGGCCAGGGGGCUGACCCCAACCUGAAAGACGCCGCUGGAUGGACCCCACUGGGAUUCAUUGAGUUGGGCAAUACAACAAAAACAGCUGAACAUCAUUCUACAGGACUGUUAUGGUUCAGUGAGAAACAUGACUGGCGAAGAAGUCACUCAGAGCUGGUCUGAACCGACAUGUCAACGACCCCCCCCCCCCCCCCCCCAUCAGUUUGGCAUGGAAUAUACAGAAGGACACCAAAUUCACAACGAGCAACAAUGUGUUUGUAGGCGUAAUUAAAAAGUUGAGGAAAGAGGGGCGUGACAAAACUGCCCAUCACACAGCCAUAACUGAAGUUUGGACACGACAUGCAGCUCAUCAAACAAUCCAAGGCUCUGGACACUGAAACAUCUGAGGGUUUGGUGAACAAAGUGUGGUUUGAUGUUAAUUUUGGGCGAAGGGGAAGGAGGGAGAACGUUUUCUUAAAACUGACUGAUUUAAAAUAUGUACAGACACAGUUUUUAUAUGAAUGUAAUGUACGUUUGCUAUCUAGCCUGUGGUUAUGUUUCACAGCAACCAGUCUAGCAACACAACUUUUGUCCGGACUACUUUUUUUGGCGGAAUGUAUUUAUGAAUUUAUUUAUUAAAGCUAAAUGUUCAAUUUAGAUGUGUCGUUCCUUGCCUUGCUGUGUUGGCAACCGGUUUAUAAAAGCAAUAAGACACCUCGGGGGGUUAGUGGUAUAUGGCCUAUAUACCACGGUCAAGGGCUGUAUCCAGGUACUUGUGCAAAAUAAAACAACCCAUAGCCGCGGUAUAUAGGUCCUAUACAACACCCCCUCAGGCCUUAUUGCUUAAAUGUCCAGUACCGGUCAAAAGUUUGGACACACCAACUCAUUCAAGGGUUUUUCCUUUAAUUUUUGCUAUUUUCUACAUUGUCAAAUAAUAGUGAAGACAUCAAAUCUAUGAAAUAGCAUAUAUGGAAUCAUAUAAUAACAAAAAGUGUUCAACAAAUGAAAAUAUUUUAGAUUCUUCAAAGUAGCCACCCUUUGCUUUGACAGCUUUUCACACUCUUGGCAUUCUCUCAACCAGCUUCCCCUGGAAUGAUUUUCCAACAGUCUUGAAGGAGUUCCCACAUGCUGAGCAAUUGUUGGCUACUUUUCCUUCACUCUGCGGUUCAACUCAUCCCAAACCAUCUCAAUUGGAUUGAAGUCGGGUGAUUGUGGAGUCCAGGUCAUCUGAUGCAGCACUCCAUCAUCAUUGUCCUGUUGAAAAACAAAUUACAUGUCCCACUAAGCACAACCCAAAUGGGAUGGCAUACUGCUGCAGAAUGCUGUGGUAGCCAUACUGGUUAAGUGUGCCUUGAAUUCUAAAUAAAUCAGACCGUGUCACCAGCAUAGCACCCCCUCACAUCACCUCCUCCAUGCUUCACGGUGGGAAGCACACAUGCGGAGAUCAUCUGUUCACAUACACUGCGUCUCACAAAGGCACGUGAUUGCCACCAGUCUAAUAUCCAUUGCUUGUGUUUCUUGUCCCAAGUUGUUGAGAUGUGUCUGUUACUUGAACUCUGUGAAGCAUUUAUUUGUGCUGCAAUUUCUGAGACUGCUAACUCUAACAUGCUGACCAUACCGGACACGUCGCGUGCGUUGCAAAAUACAUUUAGAAAUCCAUGUUAUUAAAUUAUUGCACCCACACUGCUCGCGCACGCCAACUAGCCUCUGCCACGUCAAGGGCUAAAAUAGAACUCAUUCCUAUUUCUGACGCAGAUCGCGCUGCAAGUCCUGCCUCUCCCAUCUCCUCAUUGGUUUAUAGAAGCAGGUGAUUGAAAGACGUGAUUGAAAGACUAACUGUUUUGCCGGUAGUCGUGGUAAUACAAUGAAAGUUUAGAUGCGAUCACCAUAUAAUUUAAACAAUGAAAAAGCCUGGAAGGAGGAGCGAUGACUAGAAACGAUUCGGUUGGCCGUUUUUAUAUGUGAAUUAAUUGUCGGAGUAGAGGUCCUUGUGCAUUUCAGGUAAAAUAACAACUCAAUGUUUAUAUCCCAGGACAAAUUAGCUAGCAACAGCAAGCUAGCUAAAUUACAAAUUAACAUUAGCUAGCAAGUGCAAGCUAACUAGCUAAAUUGCCAUACAUGUUUAAUGCUUUUCGUCCUGUCCCCAAAUUAAUGUCAUUGGGUCAGAGUUUGUUUUGAUAUUUUAACCUGCGUGUCCUGAUCGCGUUUGGUGUGAGGGGGGGCAAAAUAAAUGUAUGCACGAUAGCGCAAGAUUGCGCACACGCGCAGCCGGUUUGUGUUCCGUGUAAUGAACUUACCCACUUUAGCAGAGGUAACUCUGGGUCUUCCUUUCCUGUGGCGGUCCUCAUGAGAGCCAGUUUCACCAUAGCACUUGAUGGUUUUUCUGGCUGCACUUUGAAAAACUUUAAAAGUUCUUGAAAUUUUCCGGAUUGACUAACCUGAAUGUCUUAAAGUAAUGAUGAACUGUUUCUCUUUACUUAUUUGAGCUGUUUUUGCCAUAAUAUGGACUUGAUCUUUUAAAAAAUAGGGUUAUCUUCUGUAUACCCCACAUACCUUGUCACAACACAACUGAUUGGCUCAAACUCAUUAAGAUGAAAGAAAUUCCUUACAAAUGAACUUUUAACAAGGCACACCUGUUAAUUGAAAUGCAUUCCAGGUGACUACCUCAUGAAGCUGGUUGAGAGAAUGCCAAGAGUGUGCAAAGCUGUCAUCAAGGAAAAAGCUGGCUACUUGAAGAAUCGCAAAUAUAAAAUAUAUUUUGAUUUGUUUAACACUUUUUUGGUUACUACAUGAUUCCAUAUGUGUUAUUUAAUUGUAAUUAUUCACCUACCUCCUCAUGCCUUUUGCACACAAUGUAUAUAGACUCUCUUUUUUUUCUACUGUGUAAUUGACUUGUUAAUUGUUUACUCCAUGUGUAACUCUGUGUUGUCUGUUCACACUGCUAUGCUUUAUCUUGGCCAGGUCACAGUUGUAAAUGAGAACUUGUUCUCAACUAGCCUACCUGGUUAAAUAAAGGUGAAAUUAAAAUUAAAAAUAAAAAUGGUUUUGAAGUCUUCACUAUUAUUCAACAAUGUAGAAAAUAGUACAAAUAAAGAAAAACCCUUGAAUGAGUAGGUGUCUCCAAGCUUUUGACUGGGACUGUAUAUGGUAUGUAAUAACACUCCUGUGUUUCAGCACAAAGCGUAUAACCUGGGCCACCAGUGUGUAGUGGAGGCAUUGGUUACUAGAGGGGUGCUGUUGAACACACCAGGCAAUGAGAACGGCUCUCCUCUACUUGACGCUGUCAACACUGGGCUUCACAGAGCGUUUUGUGAGUAUGGAUAGAAUAGAGGUGUUUAUUUCUACAUUCUUUUGCACAGAAAUUCUUUGUUUACCCUCACAGGCGUAGAGGUCCUAUGUAAUUUUGCAUUCAAGUCAUUUAACAGACGCUCUUAUCCAGAGCCCCUUAAAGGAGCAAUUAGGGUAAUGUGCCUUGCUCAAGGGCACAUCAACAUAUGUUUUACCUAGUCAGCUUGGGGAUUCAAACCAGCAACCUUUCGGUUACUGGAUCCAACGCUCUAACUGCUAGGCUACCUGCAACCCCAAGAAAAAAUACCUGUCUCUUUUCAUGCUGACUUAAUCUAAAAUCAUUCACCUGAAUUCAGCAUGAAAAGAGACUGAGGUAGUAAUAAUUUUUCUUGUAGCAUGAUGUGCACUAGAUGGAUAACUACAAUCACACAGUAGGUGACACUCAUUGGUUGUUGGAUGGUGAAGUGUUGUGACCUCAUAAUGUAC